CACACAGCUGGUGGGAAUGGAACAGAUGGAAACUGAGACUCCCCAAGCUGACAGGCAGACUACGGAUCUGGGGGUUCUGCUCCAGGCUCAACACAAGUGGCCUGGGCGAGGGAGGGCCUGGUAGACCAGGACACCCAGCACCGGGGAAUUCUGCUUCCCUAGCAGGCUCAGAGGGAAGAAGUCUGCUUCAGGGGCCAGGCCUGGUCAAAGACUCCAUCUUCCCUGGAUGGCCAGAGUCAAAUCCUUGCAAAUCCCGUUCAGCAUGGAGCAGAGACAAGACCUGUGUUACCCAGGCUGGAUGUGAAUUCCUGGACUCAAGCAAUCCUCCCAUCUCAGCCUCGUGUCCCGGGACCUGAGAGAGAGGUGGAGUGAAGGGGGAGAGAAGACAAAGCCCAGGGACUCGCCCCCAAAAAACACAAUCAAAAAGAUGCUCCCAGCUUUUCAAUUUCAGACCCUGAGUUCCUCGCAAGAUUUUGUUUGAAGGAAAGCUUCUAUAGUAUUAAAA